rnacentral:lncRNA from 1 species
AAUUAAUCCGUGAUUUAAUUUGUAUGAAUGUGUGUUUGCAGGUAUGAGUCAAAGUUCAUAGAGUCGAUUGUUAAAGAGAUCGCAGAUAAACUCAACUUCUCACUGCCUCACGCCCCUCCGUCCUCGUUACCACUGUCGUCGGCCCUCCGCCCACCUUCAUAUUUUCUUUGUCUUUUACGAGAGUGGAGGUCUUUCUUUCAGACCUCCUCUCUCUUUUUAUUUUUUUGACCUCCUCUCUUUUUUCUGUAGUUGUACUACAGAAAAAAGAGAGGAGACAAAAAAAAAUAAAAAGAGAGGAGGGGCGGUGGGGGUAAAGCAGAAGUGUGAAUCAAUAGGAACUAAGCACGUGGAUACCUGUCGGCUGAUGAGAACGAAAGGCUGAAAAGAAAGGUCCCACAGCGCACCGACUUUGUCAAAGCAUAGAUGGAUGAAUUAAUUAAAGGAUUGUACUUCAAUGAAUGCUUCUCUCUCUCCUUUUUGUUUUUUUUGACAAUUUGUAUCUUUGGAUCGAUCCUUAUGACAGUUAACUUUUUCAAGAAUUUUCAGCUCAAAAUGAGAUGAUCAGAUGCAUAAUUAAGUCUAAGUGAUCUUUUGACAUAUGACUGCUACAAGUAAGUGCAUGCUUAGGGUUCUUCUCAAUUAUAUUCUUGCUAAAUUUUUAAUUUGUUUUUUAACACUUGAGAAUAACAAUACAAAAGAAAAAAGUUUUUCGAAGUAUGAAUCUUAAAACUGAAAAAAAGUAUAUCAAUGAAAAAACAAGCUUUUUUAAUCAACAAACUUACCAUUGAUUUUAUAAAUACCGCGCAUACAACAAUAGAAAAAAAUUCAUAACAUAAGAUGUGCAAUCAAAGAUUAAUUAAUGUAAAAGUCAUGAUUAGGAUUAUAAGUUAAUUUUCAAUGCUUGAAAAGGUGUGUAUUUUCGGGUGUCAUGAUUUUCUAACAUAGAAAUGAAAAUAUAUUGUUUGUGUUUAAUAAAAUAAAUUAAAAAAAUAUAUGAACCAACAAAUAAAAAAUAAUUAUUAAAGUUAAUUAAAUAUUAAAGUGAAAAGCUGAUAAUUCUAGUAGAGUAAAAAUUAAAUACAGAUAUAAAUAUUUAACCCUGAUUGUCCUUUGUAUUUUAUAUAUUUUUAUUUAUUAUAUAUUAAAAGUUGAUUCUAGCAGUUAAGGAUAAUUUUUUUUUUAAAAAAAUACAUCACAUAAAUAUAAUUUAUUUAUAUAAACUAUAAAAUGAAAAAAAAAUUACAAUUAUCUCCUUAAAGCAUUAUAAAUAUUUUUUAAAAAAACUGUUAAAAAUAUGAAAAAGGUUAACCAAACAAUUUUAAAAAAAAUAAGAGAUAAAGUAUUCAUUAAAAUUUAAAUAGAAGCAUUAAUUAAAAGUUAAAAAAUGAGUUCAGUAUACUGCUAGGACCUUAUAGUCUAGGUCCAUGCAUUUUAUUUUUUUUGGUUUUAGAUGGUGUCAUUUGCUCCAAUUAUUUUCUUGAGAGGGUGAAAUUGGGAUUAAAAAAUUUCAAUGACGAGAAUGCAAGAAACAAAAUGGGUUUCACACUGUUCAUAUACUAAAACAAAAUGGGAUUUCACUGUAUAUGAACUGAACAGUGAAAUCCCAUUUUGUUUUAGCAUAUGCAACAAUAAUUUCUAUUAUCAUCAUGUCCAAUUCAACUUCAAGCAUUGAUGCACUUUUCCUGUUAGAAAUUAUCAACUCUGUCCCUUCAAGUAUGAUAAAAUGUUGCUUCAUGGUUUCUCACCAUCUCUGCAUAUUGGUUUGUGCUAAACAUAACAUGGUACAGAGUGAGAGAAGAACAAUUAUCAAUAUUAAAAGAUUGCAUAUCAAAUCUCCACACUGGAAACCACUUGCUCACAACAUUUGUGAUCCCUGCAGCUUCAAUGGCAUGAUUGAUCUUGGGAACAGUUGGCUUAUUAUCAACAAAAUGAGAGCUAAGCAAUGCAUCUUCGAAACAAGAAAUUUACACAAAAGAAAAACAUUUCAGCUGAUAAACACAUAUAAAGAUCUUUUCCAAGAAAGCUUACUAUCAAAAAUCUGAAAAAAAGCAUAAUGUUGGAUUAUCAAUCAAUGAAGUUCCAUAGAGAACAAUUGCAGCAAAUCCCCCUUGCAAUGAUAUGAGAAACAAAUAACAUUCUUCAAGUUUCAACAGGUUUUACUGCAAGAGAUUGAAGGCAAUGCAAGAAGCCUGUGUACACAGAUACAAAAUCCAUUCACAAAAAAUCUUUCAUCGUGCAUGGAUAAGCCAUCAACGAAGCUAUAAACAGUAUUGGCAUCUUGGAAAGAUACAGAGAUACCAACCACCUGUUAUGAAACCCAACCUAUAGAAACAUUUUUCUUAAAAACGAGAAAUGCAAGAAAUCUGAUAAAAAGAAUCCAAAUUCUCACUACAAGAAAUAUGAUUUGUGUGUGAGGAAAAGAAGUGAAACCUGGAAAGUUAAUGAUUUAGAGUGUAGAAACUUCUGAAAAAAUCAUUUCAUUUUACUAAUAUUUUCUUCAUUGUUAAAAAGUGCUUGUGGUGAUUGCUCUUGUAGAUAUUCGUGACUUGAAUGGAUCCAAGUUAUUCAUAUCAAGUCCUUGAAAUUUCUGGAGGUUUUAUAGCUUUUCGUUAUGUUUAUAAGGUGCUUCCUCGCUCCUAUUGUUCUCUCUUUUUCGCUAUGGAUUAACCCAACUUUUUUCAUCUUAUUCCACUAUGAAAUUUGUUUUUACUGCAGUUCAUCCUUUUGCAGUGUUACAUCUAUAUUCUCUUCUUCCAAGGCGACAUGGCAGCUCCCCUGUCAUGUCUUCCUGCUUUUAACUAUCACUCAAACUCCACAUGUAUUCGUGUACUGCAAGGAAAAGGCAUACCAAACCUUCAAAAUAAAAUAAAAUCUGGUGCAAGGACAAAAAAGAAUUCUGAGGCAAAACAUGCCAUUAACCCAUUUUUAAUGGGUUAAAAGCAUAAAUCCAUAAAUAGAAUCCCAACUUUUUUCUUCGAUAAAUGGUAUAUGAUAUCUUUACAAAUUUGCCACCAACAAUCCACAAAUACUUUGUUCAUAAGAAAACAGAACCAUUUUUCAUUCACUAACGAUUAGAGAGACAAGGUUUCAUGCAUUCCUGGAAUUGUUAAGGCCAAGCAUCUCAGGCUAGCUCUUGAAUUUCAAACAUGACCACAACAUGAUAUACAGUAAAUUGCAACUCAAUCAUCUUAGCUGAAUAAUCUGUAAUUGACUAACAUGCAUCUAAAGGGUAUAUGAAGUUGAAUUAGACCGCAUGCAAGCUCUAAUACCAGAAAUCCUGAAUAGCAACAUCAUUAGACUUAGAUACACAACCAACAUCAUUAAUCGACGCAGCUAACUAAUAGAAACAUGCUAGUAAAUUAAUCGCGCCACCAAUCUGAGAAAAUACAUUAAGGCUUAAUUGGAUGAUGGUAAGGAAUAGAUAGCGUGCAAGCUACAUGCAUUCUUGAGAGUAAGGGCUCGAACAAGGCUUAAGCAGAUGCUCCUAUAGAAAAUGCCAAAAAUGAAUUCAAUAAUUAGUUGCAAUUAAGAAAUCGAUUACUUCCUCUUCUUCAUUGAUUCAAGUAAUGCUUGAAAAUGUUGAAUCAUACCAGUGAACAUAAGCAACCACUUCCUCUGGUUAUGAGUGAUCACAUCACUCUAUAUAGCCAACUAAGACCCCCACAUCCUUCUAUUGUAUGGUUCACUACUCUUCAUCUUUCUUUACAAGAAACUUUUGCAAUAGGACUGUAUUCAACUAUAUCAAUUAUUAAUGUGCAAUAUACUCGAACAUUUCACCUUCCCUUUUCUUCUCAUACAAAUUAUGCAAUACCUCUGGUUAAAAUAGAAAAAAAUGUAUACCUCUGCGGUGAAUUCGAUAUUGUAAUAUCCGAUCCAAAUCUUUUCUAUUGUAUCUGAACUCGAGUAAUAUAUUGUUCAACUUGGACCAGCUCUGCGCAUCAUAUGGUUUAACUUAAAAUAAUCUUUACUCGGUUGGUUUAAUGCAAAGUAAUUUGAAAGAUAUUAAAAACUUCAAAUUGAGAUUAUUCAAAGGGAGGAUCCUAAAUGGAAGCCUUCUCUCUUAUCUGCCAUUUCUUAAAUUAAAUUCAAUGGCCGCUUCGGAUAUGAUCUCAAACUGAUUUGGAAUGGCUUUAUUAUUGCCAGUAAUAGUAGGCAAAUAACUCUGAGAUUGACUUGAUGCGUUGUCAACAUUUCCAUCUUGUCUAUUCCUUUUCAAAGGAUUCUAUAAUCUCUGCAAUGGUAACAUUAUUUUGUAGAGUAGAAUCUCCAGCUACAACCUUAUUGUUUUUGGACUGGUAGAAAACUCAGGAGGAACAGAACAGAUGUUCAUUUCCAUCAUAUCAGUACAACUUAGUGGUAACGUUUUCCCAACUAAGCAUUCCCAAAUUUAUUUCAAAACAAACCAAAAAUAGCAGCAACCUUCCCCGUCCUCUGCCUGCCAAGCUCUUGAAUCAGAAACUGUAUUUCCUUCUUGCAAAACAAAAUAACUUAAAAAGGGCAUCAAAAUCCAACCGUGAGACUGCCAUUGCCAACAUAAGAUCAAGCUGGCAUUUAAUGAGCCUCCAUACGUUAAGGAAAAACUUACCUGCAAAUUACAAAAAGCAUGUACCUAGUACAUCACAACAGGUUCUCUCCUUAUUACUAGUGUCUUUGACUGCUAAAUUUAUGAAGUACAUAUCAGAAUAGACCUUAAAUAGAUCCGAGUGACUAACCCGAACAAACUCAAAGCUAUGAGUUACAAUAUAUUUUUACUUUGAAGCAUGCUAGAGCUAUCUUAUGAUAUACAGAUACGGUAUAUGGUGUUAGUGAGAGAAUGUGAUUUGUGAGUGGUAUUUUUUGAAAAUAUCUCCGUGAGGUGAAAUAAAUGCUUUCUUCUACAUAAAUUAUAUUUUUCAAAUCAUAUUUUUUUAAUUAACUAGAAUUCCAAGUUGACCAGGGAAUUAUUGUCUGAUGACCAAUUUUAUAAUGGCUGCUAUAUUUAUCUUGUAAAUCCCAAAAAACAAAUUGUGCUAAUCAGGUAUUUAGAAAUAAAAUGGAUCCAAAUUGUAUAGAUACGAGGAUAUGUUUUUUUCAUUUUAUUUAGUUAGUGUUUUAUAACAGAAAAGAUAAAAAAUAUAUUUAAUUGAAAAAACAUGAAUAAAAAUAAAAAUAAAUCUACUCUAAGAUAAUUUUGAAAUAAAUUAUAUACUUUCAAAACAAAAAAUACAUAAAAAUAUGUCGCAUUUAUCCACUAUCUCCAUCUUUUCUAUUUUGAGACAGUAAUCAAAUACUACUACAAUUUAGACAUUGAGAAGUAAAGCUAGGGUUAGAUGAUUUAUAAUAUGUAGGAAGUUAAUAUUAAAAGUUUUAUUCAAAGAAUUGACAACACUACUACUAAGAUAUAGAAGAUAAUAGGUUAGUGUUUGAUUAUUGUCCCGGAACAAAAAAGAUAGAGACAAUGAUAAUAGAGGAAAGAAGAUAGAAUAAGAGAUAAAGAUAAAAUUAUAUUUGAUAGUAGCAUACAAGACUACCUUUAUAUCUUAUUUUGUUGAUUGUAAACAAGACAUAAUAAAAUAUAAAAACUCUAUUUUAUUUUUAAUAUGUAUUAUUGUCAAAUUACAUAUUUUUAAAAAAUAAUUAGAUAGUAUUAUAAUUUUUUUAGUUUAUAUUGAAAGUUGAAAUUAAUAAUAGAAUAAUAACUUUAGUUAUAUAACUUAGAUUGGCUCAGUGUGUUGAACUAGGACUCGGCUGACCCAAAGCCUAAACCAGUAUGAAUUUAAAAAAAAAAUAGAGGAAAGGUUAACCCAACUUGAUCGGGUUAAAACUCAAGUUGACCUAUGACUCGAGAUAAACCCAAGUAAAAAACCCUUGACUUUAUUUUGAAAAAAAAUAUUUGGUCAAAAUGACAUCGUUCUGAUCCUUUGUUUUAAAAUAUUAGGAUUAUUCUAGGUUGAUCUUCUCGAUUCAUGACCUGAUUCAACCACUAGGUCAAAUUUUAAAAUUAUAACAAUAAUUAUUUUUUAUUAUUAUAUAUUUUAGUUGGAUCAUUUUAGAAUUAAAAGUUUUUUCUAGUGGUAUUUUAAGAAUAAAAAAUAUUAUCUUUAAAGAUAUAUCUCCAUGUAUCUUUUAUUUGAAAAAUACAAAAAAUUAUUUUUAAAUUAUUUCAUAAUAUAUUUAUUAUCUAUGUUCUUUAAAUCAAACAUAUUUAAGACCAUCUGUUUCUUUAAUUUCUCUGACAGUAACCAAAUGCCACGGUAUUAUAAUUUUUUUUUUAUGUGAAUGGAAAGAACUACUAAUAACAGGAAGUACCUAUUUUCUAAAUAUUUCAAAAGCAUACAUUAUUUAAUUGCUUGAGGAAAUGUAUAUCAUUCGUAAAAGGGCUCAACCUCAACUUUAUUUAACUUGAACACAACGGAUUUCGGGCUGGAUGUUGAGCAAUAAAACCAAGCGAAGCCACACAGAGAGCCCAAACUAGCCCAAGUUACCGCAACCAAGCGUAGAUCACAUACAACCAAGCUUGUUCCAUAGACUAGGCAACCGAAAGUGUGAUGCUCUUAAAAAAAUUGUUGAAGAUAAAAAUGGUAUUAGAUAUUUAAUAUGCAACUAUAUAUUUUUUUUUAUAAUUGAAAAAUAUUAUUAUCUUUUUUUUUUGGUUAAAAGAAAGAAUUCCCUGAUUAAAUAAUAAAACAAUUUUUUUUAAAAAAAAGAUUUUGCAAAAAUAAUUUUAAAUAAGUUUAAUCGCAUAGAUUUUCUCAACCAUUUAAUUCUUAGUUUGUUUUCAGAUAAAAGUAUAUUAUCAUUUAUUUUUGUGCUUAUAACUGUAUUUGAUUAUAUUUUAAAAAUUUAUUUUGCUUGAAAAUAUAUUAAAUUAAUAUUUUUUAAUUAUUUUAAUAUAUUCAAAAAAAAUUAAAAAAAAAAUCAUGCAAUACAAUAACCCUCCAAAGUCAAAGAAAGUAAUAAAAAAAAAGAGAGAGAGAAACUUCCCGAGACCUUCAGCUCAAGACUUUCCCUUCCAUUCUACAGCCCUCUUUUUUCUCUUGCUUGAUGGAAUGGAGCACCAGGCAGCUAGGCACCACCCAACCAAGGAAAAUAAAAUAGAAAAAGCAUCUGACAGAAUAUCCAGUAUAAAAAAUAAAGAAAAGGAAACUUCCUGAGAACUUCGGCCAUACACUUUCCCUUCCAUUUUUGCAGUCGUUUUUCUCUUGCUUAGUUCUUCUACCUUUUGCUGGUUCACACACUUGAAGUUGAAGCUAAUCCUCCAAAGUCAAACGUUGCCUUUUCAGUGGCAAAUUCCACAACAGAAUUCGAUUUUCUUAUCCUCCUUUUUGAUCUUUCACGUAUUCUAUUCAUCAACCUUAUGGGUUUCUUCUCAUUCAUCCGUCGCUUGAUGCUUAUUCUCUUUGGCACGGCUAAUGAUCUUGUGUUCUUGAGCUUUAGCAAUGAAGAUACAGGAAAGAAUUUUAGUGAUCAUCUCAACUCAGCUCUCACCAUUGCAGGAUUUCGCACGUUUAAAAACGAUGAUGGCGUUCGAAGAGGAGAAAAUACCGGCUCAGAAACCAGAAAAGCAAUACAGGAAUCGAAGAUAUCUGUCAUUGUGUUUUCCAAGGACUAUGCUUCUUCAACACGGUGCCUCGACGAGCUCGUCAUGAUCAUGGAUGCCAGGAGAGCUACUGGGCACAUUGUGCUGCCCAUAUUUUACCAUUUGGAUCCAUCUGAAGUCAGGAGCCAGGAAGGGAGAUGUUUCGAAGCGUUUUCUACACACGAGAAAAGCUUCCAGGGUGAGAAGGGGAGGGUGGAAGAAUGGAGGGCAGCUCUUAGAGAAGCUGCAGAUGUGGCAGGGAUGGUUCUACAAGACAGGUACAUCACAUCCCUACUCUGUUUUCUCUUGAUUCUAGUACGUCACAUCCCUUCAAUGUUUUCUCUUGAAUAAGGCUAUCUAAUCAUAUGGUCAAAAACUCAGUACAAUCAAGAAAAAAAAUUGAAAUAAAGACAGCAUAUAUAACAACAAGAACAAAAUUUCAAUCCCAAACUGAUUGGGGAUGGAUCCUUUUGGCCAUUCAAACGUGCUCGUGAAUGUGAAGUAUAUCCGGGCUUUAGAAACAAAUUCAUAGACAUGCUGUCUUGCCAGAACACAGUAAUGUGAUUUCCUUAACUUGUAAAGUUGCUGUGUUGUGUUUAUCUUAUACGUAGUAGGCUGUAUUUGACACUUCUCCGAAACUGAUACGAGAAUAUUUUUCAAAUAGCCGUAGUUCCUAGCUGCUCCUUGCCUUCGGUUUUGUCAAAGAUAAAUUAGUAGUGGGGCCUUCCAUCAUGUCAAAAUAAAACCAAGACUUAUGGGCCUAAAAUGUGUCCUUUUUUUUCCUUCUAAAAGGAUUCUGGGCCGGGAAUGGAUCCUUAAUUUAGAAACCAAUGGUCCAUGAUAAUUUAUUCUCCUCUCGGUCUUCGUCUCUCUUGGUCUGCCAUAUCAACACCAUAAACCAGUAAAGUUCCAACUGCGUUGACUUGAGUCUAAAAAGUCAUCAAUUCACCAACCGAUUCCAAGAUUUCCCAUUUCACUGUUUUCCUCACAUUAAAUUUUUCAUCCAUUCUUCUCUCCAAAAUGCAUUACGAAGUGUUCUUGAGCUUUAGAGGCGAAAACACCCGUCGAAGUUUUACGGACCAUCUCUACACAGCUCUAUGUAGAGCAGAGAUUCGCGCUUUCAGAGACGACGAUGGGAUCCGGAGAGGAGAGAACAUUGAUUUAGAAAUCAAGAAAGCAAUUCAAGAAACAAAACUAUCCAUUAUUGUGUUUUCUAAAGACUACGCUUCUUCGAGAUGGUGUCUUGACGAGCUAGCGAUGAUCAUGGAACGUAGAAGAGCUGUUGGGCACAUAGUGUUUCCAGUUUUCUAUGAUGUUGAUCCAUCUGAGGUGGGGACCCAAACAGGGAGAUAUGGUGAAGCUUUUGCUAAGCAUCAGAUACGUUUCAAGGACCAGAUGGAGAGGGUGGAGGGGUGGAGGAAGGCUCUUAAAGAAGUUGCAUACAUGGAAGGAAUGGUCUUAGAAGACGGGUACUAACUUUUUUUUUUCUUCGAAAUUUAUUACAUCGAUAGCUUAUAUUUUUGAAUCAGCUAAGCAUUUAGGAAUACUUAAUUUGAGCUUGAUCAUUCCAUACUCGAACAUCUUGCCAUUUACUUGAAAAUGAAGACAUUCACUUACCUGGAACAGUGAUUGCCAACUAUCCUAGGGGAAAAGCGUUUGACGAGAAUGAAAGAAGUCUUGCAACUUACUAGAUAAAUGAAGACAUUGAAGGGAUGUUGUUGGACAUUUCAAAAAUUAGUUUUGAAAGUAAAUUAAAUUCCAGAGUCUUUGCAAGGAAAUCCAAACUUAGAUUGCUCAGGAUUUAUAACUCUGGAGUUAAAAAUAACUGAAAAGUGCACCUUCCUCAUGGCUGGCGUCAAGUUCCUUUCUUAGGAGAUGAGAUAUCUGCAUUGGGAUGAAUAAUUGUUUUGACCUUUGAGAUCUUUGCAUUCCUUUUUUUGUCUGGAGAAACGAAACAAGAAUCUUAUCGAUUUAAAAUAUGCCAGCCUCAGCAAUUGUGAGCGCCCUUCCAUGCCAGAUUUUUUCAAAGGCUAGAAAUUAACCUUGAGAGAUUGAAUUCUCAAUAUUGUUGUACAAGUUUUAUAUGGUCCAAGGUUAUUUCACCGAUUCAAUAUCGAGACAAGCUUAUUGAUUUGGAUCCGAAAAACUGCACAAGCCUUAUCUCUCUUCCGAGUAGAAUUUGUUCAAGAUUUCCCAUCUCUUAACCUUUCUAGUUGUUCACAUAUCAAUAAGAAAGCAUGCAAUUGGCACCAAUAUUUAAACAAGCUAUUGAGAACGAUGAUAUUUGACCAGAAAUUCGAAGGAAACUGCUUUUUUGUUUUGUUUCCGAUUUGCUUAGGAGUCUCAACUUCAAUUGUCACGGUGCUAGACUGCUAGUAAUCUCAGAUAACUGUCUGUUUUACGUCCAGUGCCCUGUGGUUGUGUUUGAUAUGGUGUAUAGGGAAGGGAUGUUUUGAUAACCCUUUUCUUUUCGUGAAGCAAAAAGCCAUUCUAGAAAUGCCAAAAAAUUAACAAAAGAAACCUAACUCUGCCUUGAUUUCAUUACUGAAGCUUUAAUCACUAGCGUUUCUGUGUCUUCUUCAAAGAAAGAAAGAAAAGGUGUUCUGCAUAAGUGCACUGGUCGAUUUAGAACUCUCUCUCCUAAGCCAUUUGAAGUAGCGAUGAGCCUGUGAAUCAAUUGCUACCGCAGUAUUGUCUCUCCAUUCGUUAGGCAUCUUCGAAACACGUGCAUGGAAUUCUUCUUGCUUGCUUCAGCAUCUCUAAAUUACUGAUAUUGUAUGACUUGUUUAUGCAUAUUUAACUAUCAUGGCCAUUCAGCUUACAAGUUAUUUAAACAGUAACGGGAUCUGAGGAUGAUAAACAAGGGCUGGUUCGUUAACUAGCCGCAAUUCAAAUGUAAUUAUUUUUGUUUUUCAUGUUCUUUUAGAAAAGACCGACCAAGCACAUUUCAAUCCUACUCUUAGGAUUGUGCAUUGAAAAUUUCUGAUGGUAUCACCUCAUGCUGGACAUUUAAUAUUCAUCAUAUAUAGUCUGCUUAAGUUGCACAAGGAAAGCCAUAAAACUAGAACAAGCUGAAACAACAGCUAAAAAAUGACUUUCAAGUUUCAAGCUAGAGAGCGCCUUUAAAUCCCCCACGACAGCAUCCAUGAACUCUCCUUUUUGUUUACCCUGUAUUUAGUUAAAAAAAGAUGAUUCAUGGAAACGUAGGUCAUCUUUUUAUCACUCGGGCUAUCUACAAAGCAUUCUCUGAAGAACUUAAUUUGUUCACAAUUUGAUUUGUUCUUGGUUCGAGCUGCCUUAAUCAUCAUGCUAAAAGGUUAUACAUAGGGAUGGAUAUCUCUGAGAUGUUUGCCUUGUAAUUAAAUUUUGAUCGGAACCCUUUUUGAGCCUGAACUUGAGCUAUCAUCUAGCAAGGUUACGCUAGUCUGGGAAGGAGACCAGAAUCUUGGCAGUUUUAAAAGGUCAACCGUAGCAAUUCUAGACCUGCAGAGGAUAGAAGAAACCUUGAGACUUGGAUUUUGUACAAGUUAAUUUGGUGGUGUUUCUUAAUUUGUCAAUUCAGCAUCCACCCAUUUGCAUCGAUGUAUUCCAAGCUGAAUUUUUUUGUAGUAUGUCUCUUCUUCUUCUUCUUCUUCUUCUUGUUCUUGUAUGUUGAUCUGAUGAGGAAUUAGGAAAUUAAUCCGUGAUUUAAUUUGUAUGAAUGUGUGUUUGCAGGUAUGAGUCAAAGUUCAUAGAGUCGAUUGUUAAAGAGAUCGCAGAUAAACUCAACUUCUCACUGCCUCACGCCCCUCCGUCCUCGUUACCACUGUCGGCGGCCCUCCGCCCACCUUCAUAUUUUCUUGGUCUUUUACGAGAGUGGAGGAGGUCUUUCUUUCAGACCCCCUCUCUCUUUUUAUUUUUUUUGUCUUCUUGUUAUGCUUUGUCUUCUUGUAGCAUACGAGAGUGGAGGAGGUCUUUCUUUCAGACCCCCUCUCUCUUUUUAUUUUUUUUG